rnacentral:rRNA from 1 species
UACAGAGGUCUCAAGCGUUGUUCGGAUUCAUUGGGCGUAAAGGGUGCGUAGGUGGCGCGGUAAGUCGGGUGUGAAAUCUCGGAGCUUAACUCCGAAAUUGCAUUCGAUACUGCCGUGCUCGAGGACUGGAGAGGAGACUGGAAUUCAUGGUGUAGCAGUGAAAUGCGUAGAUAUCGUGAGGAAGACCAGUGGCGAAGGCGGGUCUCUGGACAGUUCCUGACGCUGAGGCGCGAAGGCCAGGGGAGCAAACGGG